rnacentral:rRNA from 1 species
AUGGCCGGAAGCCGCCGCCGCCGCCGCGGAAGAGCGCGGCCGCCGCAGCAGGGCGCCGAACCCUCGCCGCUGGCAGACGCCACUCUCAUCUCCAGAGAAGUUGCUACUGUAGAGAGGCCCUCUAAGAACACCUGCCUCGCCUCAGCCUCAGCCUCUACCUCCUUGGCUAUAUCUGGACCUUAUGUUUGUGCAGAUCUCCUGGACAGCCUGCUUCAUGAAAUCAUUGCUCUCUUUAACUCAUUCCGUGACUUCCUUGCUUUCGCUGGCACCUGCCGCUCUUGGCGCGCUGCAGUCUCUACCUUUCCCUCUGUGUAUACAUUCGGCUUCCCGCCAUUCCACUUGAAACCAGACGGUCCUUAUGUUCGUCCACAUAGCAGCGGUAUCAAGCCCAUCCUUUUGUCUAAUUGCAAAUGGCAGCUCAGCGAUCCCAGCAAGAAAAACUUAUCCCUUGUGUGUUCAGUGUCUGAAAAUAAUCCAAAUACAAUGCACUAUUUGGGUUGCUCAUAUGGGUAUCUUAUCUUCUCCUACGAGGAGCACUGCCUCCUUGUCAAUGUGUACACUGGUACCAAGGUGAAGCCCCCCAAACUCCCACCCAACAACAGACUUGGGUACUUAUGUGGCAUAGGCAUCCUUACAGCUCCACUAAAUUCACCCAACUCUCGCCUCCUCCUUUGCUCGAAAGCUUCCAUGUUUGAGUGGCAGGUUGGAACAAACUCCUGGUCAGAGCACCCUCUUGCUCUUGAUCGUGAAAACAUCUAUCAGAUUGUGUUCUUCAAAGGUGAUAUCUUUGUCAUAGAUGGUCUUAUGAGGCUCCACACUAUACACUUGACGCCUCAGUUCAGCAUGCAAGAAGUUGCAAUUAAAUUGGAGUUUGCGCCUCUUCAUUCAUGGUUAGUGGUCUGUGGUGACAUGCUUCUCAUGGUUGACCAAGUGUUAAGCUAUGGCGAAUUGAAUGGCUCAGUUGACACAACCAUUAAGGUCUUCCGCCUCGACUUUUCUGUUGAACCAGCUGAGUGGGUGAAGCUGGAGAAGCUGGAAAAUCAUGCUCUGUUUGUUAGCGUCGAUAGGAGGAAUCCUACAUUUUCUUGCAUGAGCCCGGAAAGAUGGGGAGGAAAGAGUAACUGCAUUUAUUUUGCCAGGCUAUCUGAAGGUCCUGAUGAAACUUGGACUGCCGUCGAUCUUGGUCAGCCAGUGCUAAAAGACACAGUUUUCCCCAUCUACUAUGGUAUGGUGCUCCCUCCUGACUGCAGCCUACUAAGUAGCCUAUGGGUAUUCCCCAAUUUAAUUUAUGGUUCUGGCUAG